UCCUAAUUUUAUUUAAAUAAAACCUUUUUUUUCUAUUUGAGACAUUUGCAGAUUUUGUGAUUAGUGAGUUCUGGUAUUACAACAGUCUUUAAAAAUAACUUCUCCUUACCUAAGUCCAGGCUUGUUGAUAUUUGACAUAAUAAGCAAUAAUAAGUAACCACCUAGACUCACCAAUUUAGCUCCAUUUGUUCACUUUCUCUCAUAUAUAUAUAUAUAUAUAUACACACACACACAUAUGUCUAUAUAUAUUACAUCGUAUAUUUUAUGUACAUAUACACAUUUAUUAUUUAAAAAGUCAGUCACCCUGUUAAAUUCUAUGGGAAGAGUAUACCUCUCUGCUCCAUUGAUGUUGAAUUUGGCCAUGUCAAUUAUACCAAGCCCUCACAAUGGGUUUAGUUUAAUUUUCCAUUUUGGGCUUGACCCUAUCAGUUCCUUUGGCCAAUGGGAUAUUAGCAGACAGCAUUGAAUUGUGUCCUUCAGAAAGCUGUGUUUAAAUCCUAACCUCUAGUAUCUGUGAACGUGACCUUUUCAGAUAUAAUCAAGUUAAGAUAAACAUAUGGAAAAAAUAAAAUUAAAAAAACAUAUGGAAUUAGGGUAACCUUGAAGUCUGAUGACUGGUAUCCUUAUAGAGAUUUAGAGGCAUGCAGACACAGGGAAGAAGGCCAUAUAAUGAUGGAGCUAAGAGACUGGGCUGAUGCUGCUAUGAGGCAAAGCAUGCCAAGGAUCACUGACAACAACCAGAAGGUAGGAAAUGAACAUUUUCUGGAUAGCCCACUGAUUCAAGGAUGAGGAUGGAACAGCACUGGACACAACCUAUAUACUAAAGCCAAGCACAGCUCAUCUCAGCCUAAGUCUUUUUACCUCCAGAGAAACUGAAAUCAGAGCAGUACUCUUGGCUAAACUUUCUUGAAUGUAUUUGGCUAACAAGAUGCAGCUUCCAAAGCAUUUCUUUCUGUAAAAUGUACUCUGUGAAAAUAAAUGACCCAAUCAAAAAAUGGGCCAAAGAACUAAACAGACAU